rnacentral:rRNA from 1 species
ACUGCUAUCGGAUUGAUACUAAGCCAUGCGAGUCAUUGUAGCAAUACAAGGCAUACGGCUCAGUAACGCGUAGUCAACCUAACCUAUGGACGGGAAUAACCUCGGGAAACUGAGAAUAAUGCCCGAUAGAACAUUAUGCCUGGAAUGGUUUAUGUUCCAAAUGAUUUAUCGCCGUAGGAUGGGACUGCGGCCUAUCAGUUUGUUGGUGAGGUAAUGGCCCACCAAGACUAUUACAGGUACGGGCUCUGAGAGGAGUAGCCCGGAGAUGGGUACUGAGACACGGACCCAGGCCCUAUGGGGCGCAGCAGGCGAGAAAACUUUGCAAUGUGCGAAAGCACGACAAGGUUAAUCCGAGUGGUUUCUGCUAAAGGAACCUUUUGUCAGUCCUAGAAACACUGAUGAAUAAGGGGUGGGCAAGUCUGGUGUCAGCCGCCGCGGUAAAACCAGCACCUCAAGUGGUCAGGAUGAUUAUUGGGCCUAAAGCAUCCGUAGCCGGCUCUGUAAGUUUUCGGUUAAAUCUGUACGCUCAACGUACAGGCUGCCGGGAAUACUGCAGAGCUAGGGAGUGGGAGAGGUAGACGGUACUCGGUAGGAAGGGGUAAAAUCCUUUGAUCUAUUGAUGACCACCUGUGGCGAAGGCGGUCUACCAGAACACGUCCGACGGUGAGGGAUGAAAGCUGGGGGAGCAAACCGGAUUAGAUACCCGGGUAGUCCCAGCUGUAAACUAUGCAAACUCAGUGAUGCAUUGGCUUGUGGCCAAUGCAGUGCUGCAGGGAAGCCGUUAAGUUUGCCGCCUGGGAAGUACGUACGCAAGUAUGAAACUUAAAGGAAUUGGCGGGGGAGCACCACA